rnacentral:rRNA from 1 species
UACGUAGGUCCCGAGCGUUGUCCGGAAUUACUGGGUGUAAAGGGUGCGCAGGCGGCCAUGUGCGUCAGAAGUGAAAUAUCACGGCUUAACCGUGAGGGUGCUUUUGAAACGGCGUGGCUUGAGUACGAGAGAGGUGAGUGGAAUUCCCAGUGUAGAGGUGAAAUUCGUAGAUAUUGGGAAGAACACCGGUGGCGAAGGGCGGCUCACUGGCUCGUAACUGACGCUCA